GGAGAUCAAAACUGCGUCGUUUCCUUAAGCCGUCUGCGCUCCUCGUCAGUCUUGACUCUUGUGUCUGUGAUUUUAUCUGUCUGCCGCAGCUGAUUCUUCGCGAGGUCUUCCCGCAAUCCCUUCCGCGAUUCAUUCUAUCCAAGGAAAAUGUUCUUUAUGUGUAUGUGAUGAAAGAAGCGAAGCCGUUUGUUUCAAUUGAAAAAUUGAGGAUUGUGCGUUUUGAGCUGUUUGAGUGAUCUGGGGGUUUUCAAUUUGGGGAUUUCGGGGUUCUAGGGUUUUAUUUUUGGACUUCAACUGGAGGGGUUAGAUGGUUAGGGUUUUGGUGCGUGGGAAUCAGCAGUAGGAAAUUUGGAAAGGAAUUAAGCUGAAUUGAUGGUUGAAGCUUGGGUAUUUUGUUUUGAGAAAUUUGGGGAAAAUGCAAAACAGCAGUCUUUAUUAUGCAUGGGAGGUGUCAGAGGGAAGGUAAGGAAAGCAGCCCAAGUUCAGAAAACGGUAUUAGUUGGCAUAUGCACUCAGCUGUAAUUGCUUCGGAUUCAAAUUCGUUCUUCAAGGAUGGCCGCAGAAUUAGCCUUGGUGAUUGUGCUCUUUUUAAACCACCACAGGAUUGUGCGCCAUUCAUUGGUUUAAUUUGUUCGCUGCCAUCAAGCAAAGAGAACAUUUUAAAGUUACAAGUGAAUUGGAUAUAUCGACCAUCUGAAAUAAAGCUUGGGAAAGGCUCAUUGUUGGACAGUGCUCCAAACGAGAUUUUCUAUUCAUUUCACAAGGACGAGAUUCCUGCUGCCUCCCUACUUCACCCGUGCAAAGUAGCCUUUCUUCCUAAAGGUGUAGAGCUUCCGAAGGGCACAUACUCUUUUGUGUGCAGACGCGUUUAUGACAUUGUGAACAAGUGUUUGUGGUGGUUAACGGAUAAAGAUUACAUUCAUGGGCGGCAGGAGGAAGUAGAGCAGCUUUUAUACAAAACAAGGACAGAAAUGCAUGCAACUUGUCAGCCCGGUGGUCGUUCUCCUAAGCAAGUUAAUGGUCCUACAUCAGCCUCACAAAUGAAAACUGGUUCUGACAAUGCACAAAAUACGGGGACAUCUCAAGUCAGGGGAAAGAAGAGAGAAAGAAGUGAUCAUGGUGGUGCUGAUUCUCUCAGAAGAGAACGCUCUUCUAGGACGGAUGAUGCUAGUUCGGCUCUGUAUAAAACAGAAAGCAAUAUAAAAACUGAGAUUUCAAGGAUUUCUGGGAAAGGGGUCAUCGAUCUGGAAGGGGUGGAUAAACUUGUUCAGCUAAUGCAGCAAGAUAAAAUGGAGAGAAAAAUGGAUUUUAGUACUCGUUCAAUGCUAGCUAAUGUAAUUGCUUCUAUCGACAAGGUUGAGUGCCUAAAUCGUUUCGUUCAACUCAGGGGGUUGACCGUAUUGGAUGAUUGGCUUCAGGAAAUUCAUCAAGGGAAGAAUGGUGAUGGUGGUAGUGCAAAGUACGGCGACAAAUCACUGGAGGAGUUUCUUUUGGUUUUACUUCGUGCACUGGAUAAACUUCCAGUUAAUCUGCAGGCCCUUCAAAUGUGCAACAUUGGAAGAUCUGUGAAUCAUUUACGAUCACAUAAAAAUACGGAAAUUCAAAGGAAAGCACGGGCUUUGGUUGACACAUGGAAGAAACGUGUUGAAGCUGAAAUGAUUAGUAUUGAUGCUAAGUCCAGUUCCAACCAACCUGUUGUCUCGUGGCCUUCCAAAUCACGCCUUCCAGAGGCAUCCCAUGUAAUUAGAACUCAGAGUGGAUCUGAUGUUGCCAUGAAAAGCGUAGUCACUCAGAAUUUGCCAGCUAAAACUUCACUCCGGUCUUCACAUGGGGAAAAUAGCAUAAAACAGGAAACGUCUUGUGGGUCAGUAAAACAAGCCUCUUCACCUUCAUCUGGAAAGGAGAACCAGCUUAGAACAUCUGUUAGUGUCAGUGCUGGUGCCGUUCAAAACAGGGAGGACAGAAGUAGUAGUUCCAUCCAGUCUCAUAAUAACAAUCAGUCUCCCUCGCCAAGAGACGACCAAAAGAGUUCUUCAAGUGGACUGGCUAUUAAUAGGACAUCAAACCAUGGUACCCGUAGUAAAAAAAGUAGUAUUGUCUCUGAGUCUGGAAGUCAGAAGGAAACCAGUUCUUGCAAGAGUUCGGCGCACAAAGGUUCUGCUGUAGAGAAGCUACCACAGUCUUCCUUAAUUAGUGAAGAAGUGCUCGAUGGAUCUGCUGGUGAAGGGAAUGGUCAUAAACUAGCUGUUAGAAUUUCUAGUAGGGUAAGAAGUCCUGCACAAGUCGGUGGGGGAUCUCAUGAUGAUCCUACCUUCACAAACAGCCAAGUUUCUUCUCCUAUGCAGUUAGAUAAACACGAGCAGCCUGAUCGUGCGUCACUGGAGAUGAUUGAUUCAAAUCGAUGCAAUGUUUUGUCUGAUCUGAAUACAUUGCAAAACAAUGAACAAAAGGUUGUGUUGGCUGGGUCAGAGGGUGUUGGGGCCCGAGCAGUUCCACAGCAUGAAGAUCAAAGUAUGACCAUUGAAGUACAGAAGAAAAUUACAAGAGGAACUUUGAAAAAUAAGGUGGAGCAAGUGAAAUUACACAGUUCUUUCAGCCCCAUGAAUGCUCUAAUUGAGAGCUGUGCUAAAUAUGCGGAGACAUCUUCGUCAUUAUCAAUUGAAGAUGAUGUUGGAAUGAAUUUACUUGCCAGUGUGGCUGCUGGAGAAAUGUCCAGAUCUGACAUGGUUACACCUACAGAUUCUAUGGAAAGAAAUAGCCCAGCAGUCGACCAAGUUUGUGCUAGUGAUGAAGCAAAAUCUAAGGGUUUGCAGGAUGAAUACGGUGCUGGAGUUAAGAAUCAGCCUUCAAAUGGUGCUGAAUGCAAUGGCAAGAAUCAGGCCGUUUUAGAUGGUUUUUCCCGAUAUGUUGAUGGUUUCGAUUUGUCUAAACAUGUGACUCCUGAGGCUUCUGGUGACAGAAGAAAUGUUCUGCCUGAGACCAAUGAAGAGUUGCCACCUACAGGGGCCGAUGACCUAUGCUCUUCCAAAAUGGAUUUAUCAAGCAAUGUUGUUACUAAAUCGGAGAUUAGUGAGCAACCCAAGGCAAACACAGUUGCUACUUCUGUGGCACUUACUGUUUGUAUGGAGAAGGUAAGAGAUGGAGAAUCAAAUGAGCAAAGUAGUGAUGAGAAGGCAGUUUCUAGUAGUGUUACUGUGGAAGGUGUUUCAAAUUGUAUAAGUGCUAGAGGUGAUGAUUUGGUGGACAUGUCCCGAUUUUUACAUGGGGUAUCAACACGAUUGGAUCAAGGCAAUGGUGACAAGAUCUUGGAGGAUAGAUUGGACUCGAAAAUCAAAUCAGAUGAGGAAGUACCCAUUGUAAAACUACCUACUUCAGCUUUUAAAUUUGAAUCUAAAGAAAAAGCUAGUGAUGAAAAACUGCUGCAUCAGAUUGAACAGAAACCUACUCUACAAGCUGAUGGUAAAAUACUCAAAGGAGAGUCUGAUGACAACGAUGAUAAGAGUCGCCUGAGCAAGCCUGAAAAACUUGACUUUGAUACAGAAAUGGCUGGAAAUGCAGCUGGUGACCACAAGGAUGCAUCUGGUCUGUGUUCCACAUCUGAUGAUCCUAAGAGUCAUUGUGGAGAAGCAAUUCCCAAAAGCAUGGAGAUUCAGGAACGAACAUCACUUCUGCAGAGUCGGACUCCUGGUUCUUUGGAACCUAAAAUUGUUAAGGAUGCUGGGUUGACAGUAUCUAAAUCUGUCAGUGUUCAUCCAGAUGAGGCAGGUGAGUCUACUUCUACUGGUGCCGAGACUACUUCCUCUUCCACAAGAACGUCCAAUGGAUGUGCUAAAUUAACAUUCGACUUAAAUGAAGGUCUUACUGCGGAUGAUGGGAAAUAUGAGGAGUUAGUGACUUCAACAUCCCCUGCUUCAGAAACUGUUCAUGCGACUAACUUAUUGCCAUUUUCUCAGAACUCUUUACGCAGUGGCCUUUCUUCCUCUAUAACUGUAGCUGCAGCUGCCAAAGGGCCGUUUGUUCUUCAUGACGACAUGAUGAAAAGUAAAGUUGAGUUUGGAUGGAAGGGUUCUGCUGCUACUAGUGCAUUUCGGCCUGCUGAACCUCGAAAAACAAUUGAAUCGCCACUCGGUUCAGGAAAUGUGGCUUGCCCUGAAGCUUCUUCUACCAAUAAACACGGACGAGUUCCUUUGGAUUUUGAUCUUAAUGUGCCAGAUGAAAGAGUUCUCGAGGAAAUAGCUUCUCGAGGUUCUAAUGUUGCUGUUGAUAUGUCAAGUAAAUCUUCGAUUCAGAAUGAAGCAUCAAACACUAUGACAGUACAUAGUUUUGGAGGGCUGGAUCUUGAUUUGAACCGAGCUGAUGAAACAUAUGGAAAUGGACACUGUUUGACCAGCAGCAAUUGUAAAGGAGAGGGUCCCAGUGCGCAUGUUGAACCGUUUGGUCUCUUACCUUCUGGCGAUACCUGUAGGAAUUUCGAUCUCAAUAACGGACCCAUGGUGGAUGACAUUAAUGGCGAACAUUUCUCUAUAAAUCAACUCGUCAAGGGGGGAAUCGUAUCUCCAUUACCUUCUGCAGGUCCUAGAAUGAAUGCUCCAGUAAUCGGCAGUAUCUCAUCAUGGUUUCCUCCCGGAGAUACUUACUCAACAGUUGCAGUCCCUUCAAUAUUACCCGAUCGAGGCGAGCAUCCUGUUCCAGUUUUUCCAACCAGUGCCCCUCCUCGGACAUUUGGGCCAGGCAGUGUUGCCCCAUUCAGCCCUGACGUGUUACGCGGGUCGGUACUGUCUUCGUCGCCUGCUGUCCCGUUCCAUUCCAGUCCAUAUCAGCUUCCUAUCUUCCCUUUCGGGACCCCUUUUCCAUUCCCAUCUGCAACAUUUUCAGUCGGCACCACCUCUUAUGCAUCAGAUUCAUCAUCAAAUGCAAGGAUGUUUGCACCUCCGGUGAAUUCACAGUUUCUUGGUCCUUUCAGUUCUGCUGCAUCUCAGUUUCAAAGGCCGUACGUAGUCAGCCUUCCCGACAAUGGUGGCCUGGAAAACAGCAGAAAAUGGGACAGACAGGGUUUGGACCUCAAUGCCGGCCCCGGGGGCAUGGAGAACAAAAUCAAGGGUGAGAUGAGGCCUCUAUCAUCCGGCCAACGAUCAGUUUCUAGUUCACAGGCAUUAGCCGAAGAGCAGGCAAGGAUUUUUCCCAUUUCAGGUAAUACUAUUUCGAAGAGGAAGGAUCCCGAGGGAGGCUGGGACAACGAGGCGCUAAGACACAAGCAGUCUUCUUGGCAAUAGAAUGUAUGCUUUGGUGGAUCAAGAUUCGGACAGUCAGCAUCGUGAUAUGGAUUACUAAUUCCCCAACCCUGCUAUGAACAGUCGUGUUCUUCAUGUUGCUGAUUGUCUGUAUCUAUGCUCCGAUGAGGAUGGGCUGAGCGCGUAGAUUUUCAUUUCAUGUAUGAUCUAUCUGUAUGCUCCGGCAACGUUUGUUCAGUUCGGUUCCAUUCCGACGAUAUUUGAGCUUGGGGAGAAGAGAAGAAGACAUUGUCCUGAUUGUAAAUAUGUUCUUACUGGUAGAGGACAGCGAUGAAUGAUAAAAAAAAGAAAGUGGAGUUUGAUGAUCCA